GCCCCACUAGCAUAGUUGGUUAUUGCAUCGUGCUUAUAUGAAUUUCCGCGAUGGAAACACAUAUCUCCUCGAGACGCGGGGGUCGGCAGUUCGAGUCUGCCGUGGGGCA